rnacentral:rRNA from 1 species
GUGGAUUAGAUACCCUGGUAGUCCACGCCCUAAACGAUGUCAACUAGCUGUUGGGGGUUUGAAUCCUUGGUAGCGAAGCUAACGCGAGAAGUUGACCGCCUGGGGAGUACGGCCGCAAGGUUAAAACUCAAAGGAAUUGACGGGGACCCGCACAAGCGGUGGAUGAUGUGGAUUAAUUCGAUGCAACGCGAAAAACCUUACCUGCUCUUGACAUGUACCGAAGCCCGCAGAGACGUGGGUGUGCCCGAAAGGGAGCGGUAACACAGGUGCUGCACGGUCGUCGUCUACU